AACGAACGCUGGCGGCAGGCCUAACACAUGCAAGUCGAGCGCCCUGUCGGGGGCGCGGCGGACGGGUGAGUAACGCGUGGGAAUAUGCCCUUCUCUACGGAAUAGCCUCGGGAUACUGAGAGUAAUACCGUAUACGCCCUGAGGGGGGAAGGUUUAUCGGGGAGGGAUGAGCCAGCGUUGGAUUAGGUUGUUGGUGGGGUAAUGGCCUACCAAGCCGACGAUCGAUAGCUGGUUUGAGAGGAUGGUCGGCCACACUGGGACUGGGACACGGGCCAGACCCCAAAGGGCGGCAGGAGGGGGGAGUGGGGAACAGUGGGCGAAGGCGGAAACCAGCAACGCCGCGUGCGGGGUGACGGCCUAAGGGUUGGGGGCUGAUAUCGCUUGGGACGAGGCGAGAGUGACGGUACCCGGAAAAGAAGCACCGGCUAACUCCGUG
rnacentral:rRNA from 1 species